GACCUGCGGAGGAUCAUUAUUGA
rnacentral:rRNA from 2 species